UAAACGUUGGGAACUAGAUGUAGGGCCUGUUCACGGGCUCUGUGUCGUAGCUAACGCAUUAAGUUCCCCGCCUGGGGAGUACGGCCGCAAGGCUAAAACUCAAAGGAAUUGACGGGGGCCCGCACAAGCGGCGGAGCAUGCGGAUUAAUUCGAUGCAACGCGAAGAACCUUACCAAGGCUUGACAUAGCCGAGAACGCUGUAGAGAUACAGAACUCUUUGGACACUCGGUUACAGGUGGUGCGUGGUUGUCGUCAGCUCGUGUCGUGAGAUGUUCGGUUAAGUCCGGCAACGAGCGCAACCCUCGUCCUAUGUUGCCAGCACGUUAUGGUGGGAACUCAUGGGAUACUGCCGUGGUCAACACGGAGGAAGGUGGGGAUGACGUCAAGUCAUCAUGCCCCUUAUGUCUUGGGCUUCACGCAUGCUACAAUGGCCGAUACAAAGGGCUGCGAUACCGCGAGGUGGAGCGAAUCCCAAAAAGUCGGUCUCAGUUCGGAUUGGGGUCUGCAACUCGACCCCAUGAAGUCGGAGUCGCUAGUAAUCGCAGAUCAGCAACGCUGCGGUGAAUACGUUCCCGGGCCUUGUACACACCGCCCGUCAAGUCAUGAAAGUCGGUAACACCCGAAGCCGGUGGCCUAACCCUUGUGGAGGGAGCCGUCGAAGGUGGGACUGGUGAUUAGGACU
rnacentral:rRNA from 1 species